rnacentral:misc_RNA from 1 species
AAUUACAAGAGCGUUGGACAUGUUAAACAGUCAAAAACUCCAUAUUUUCUUUCUCCAAUUUUAAGUCGUCAUCUGAUCUUCUUCCUACCAAGCAUUAUCAGUGAUUACAAUUUUAUUAAAGCUCUUGCUAUAAACACACGGCUUCAACCAAGGGCCUGAUAGACUUGUACCGUGAAGUUUAUACAUUAUUUAUUAAUUUUUGGCUUUUGUAAAAG